CCUACGGGAGGCUGCAGUGGGGAAUAUUGCACAAUGGGCGCAAGCCUGAUGCAGCCAUGCCGCGUGUGUGAAGAAGGCCUUCGGGUUGUAAAGCACUUUCAGCGGGGAGGAAGGCGGUGAGGUUAAUAACCUCAUCGAUUGACGUUACCCGCAGAAGAAGCACCGGCUAACUCCGUGCCAGCAGCCGCGGUAAUACGGAGGGUGCAAGCGUUAAUCGGAAUUACUGGGCGUAAAGCGCACGCAGGCGGUCUGUCAAGUCGGAUGUGAAAUCCCCGGGCUCAACCUGGGAACUGCAUUCGAAACUGGCAGGCUAGAGUCUUGUAGAGGGGGGUAGAAUUCCAGGUGUAGCGGUGAAAUGCGUAGAGAUCUGGAGGAAUACCGGUGGCGAAGGCGGCCCCCUGGACAAAGACUGACGCUCACGUGCGAAAGCGUGGGGAGCAAACAGGAUUAGAUACCCUUGUAGUC
rnacentral:rRNA from 1 species